rnacentral:rRNA from 1 species
UGUGCCAGCCGCCGCGGUAAUUCCAGCUCCAAUAGCGUAUAUUAAAGUUGUUGCAGUUGAAAAGCUCGUAGUUGAAACUUGGGCCUGGCUGGCGGGUCCGCCUCACCGCGUGCACUCGUCCGGCCGGGCCUUCCUUCUGAAGAACCUCAUGCCCUUCACUGGGCGUGCUGGGGAAUCAGGACUUUUACUUUGAAAAAAUUAGAGUGUUCAAAGCAGGCCUUUGCUCGAAUACGUUAGCAUGGAAUAAUAAAAUAGGGCGUGCGUUUCUAUUUUGUUGGUUUCUAGAGACGCCGCAAUGAUUAACAGGAACAGUCGGGGGCACCAGUAUUCCGUUGUCAGAGGUGAAAUUCUUGGAUUUACGGAAGACUAACUACUGCGAAAGCAUUUGCCAAGGAUGUUUUCAUUAAUCAGUGAACGAAAGUUAGGGGAUCGAAGACGAUCAGAUACCGUCGUAGUCUUAACCGUAAACUAUGCCGACUAGGGAUCGGGCGAUGUUCUUUUUCUGACUCGCUCGGCACCUUACGAGGAAUCAAAGUUUUUGGGUUCUGGGGGGAUUAUGGUCGCAAGGCUGAAACUUAAAGAAAUUGACGGAAGGUCACCACCAGGCGUGGAGCCUGCGGCUUAAUUUGACUCAACACGGGGAAACUCACCACGUCCAGAUGAAAUAAGGAUUGACAGAUUGAGAGCUCUUUCUUGAUUUUUCACGUGGUGGUGCAUGGCCGUUCUUAGUUCGUGGGGUGACUUGUCUGCUUAAUUGCGAUAACGAGCGAGACCUUACUCUGCUAAAUAGCCAGGCUAACUUUGGGUGGUCGCGGCUUCUAGAGAGACUAUCACUCAGUUGAUGGAAGUUUGAGGCAAUAACAGGUCUGUGAUGGCGU